rnacentral:rRNA from 1 species
CAGCUUACUGGGCGUCUCCUGACGCUGAAGCGCUAAGGCCAGGGGAGCGAAGGGGAUUAGAUACCCCCGUAGUCCUGGCUUCAAACGAUGUGGGCUUGGUGUCGGCCCCCUAUAGAGGGUUGUUGCCGGAGUUAACGCGUUAAGCCCACCGCCUGGGGAUUACGUCCGCAAGGAUGAAACUCAAGGGAAUUGACGGGGGCCCACACAACCGGUGGAGCACGUGGUUUAAUUCGACGAUAAGCGAAGAACCUUACCAGGGCUUGACCUAGCGGUAGUAGAACCCCGAAAGGGGAACGACCUCAAGCUUUGCUUGAGGAGCCGUGGCAGGUAUUGCAUGGCUGUCGUCAGCUCGUGUCGUGGGACGUUGGGUUAAGUCCCGUAACGAGCGCAACCCCUGCCCUUAAUUGCCAACGGGUAAUGCCGGGUACUAUAAGGGGACUGCCGGAGAAUAUCCGGAGGAAGGAGGGGAUGACGUCAAGUCAUUAUGAUCCUUAUGCUCUGGGCGACACACGUGCUACAAUGGGCACUACAAUGAGGAGCGAUUCCGCAAGGACGAGCAAAUCUCAAAAAGGUGCCCUCAGUGCGGAUUGGGGUCUGCAACCCGACCCCAUGAAGAUGGAAUCGGUAGUAAUCGCGGGUCAGCCAUA